UUCGCCAACCCUUGCGAGUAUACAAUAGGAGGAACUGAAACUCUGUUAAUUUUUUCUCACCCAACAUUGUCUUGCUUGGGCGAUCCCCAUCUUUUCAUCUCUCUGAUGAGCAAUAGUUGAACUCCCACCCAACAUUGUCUUCCUUGGGCUUGGGCUCAUGCUGGAGCGAGAGCUCCUGUGCCUGUGGUGUCCAAUCAGCUCGGCCGGCCCGCCAAGCGAGCAAGCGUUGGCUCCUCCGCUUGCCGGGCCGGCGGUGGCUGUGCUGCUCUUUCUCGAUCUGGGUGGAGCGAGAUCAAACCAAUCAGCUCUGUCUGCCCGCCGACGAGCAGGCGUCGCCUCCUCCGCUCGCCGGGCCGACGUGGCUGUGCUGCUCUUUGGCGAUCUGGGUGGUCUGAGAUCACCCAAGUUGUCCAAUCAACUCCGUCGGCCCGCCGACGAGCAGGCGUUGCUUCCUCCGAUCGCCGGGCCGGCGGUAGCUGUGCUGCUGCUGCUGGGGAAGGGGAGCUGGGUCUGUUCGUUUGCGUCCGCGGUGCUCUCCGUCCUGUCCGCCUGUUCGCCGCUCAAGUGCGGUGAGGAGGUUGGACAUGGACGCUGAGAGGGCCGCGCACGCCGACGAGCUCCCCCCAGCUCCCAGACCCGCAUCAUCCAGCCAGUGCGUGCGGAAUUCAAGAGCAGCUCCAUGUCAUGACUGAAGAGGAAUGGUAACGGCUGGAGUGUGAGGAAGGUAUACCAGCAAAAUCAAGAGCUAAUGCAUCUGCUGCGCGGGCUGCCAGAGUCCAAUUAAGCAUCGAUGAGGGAUCCUUUGACGUGAUGGAGCAGAUUGAGGUUCAAAUACUUUGUGUACAGAAGUUGGAUGUCUUUGUCGGCACUAGGCAGCAGUUCAGAAAUUAACUGAAAAUCCAUAUAGCAUAUACGCUAGUAGUACCUGAUGUCUUUGUCCUGAAUUUCUACUGUCCAUAAAUCAAUUCUCAGGUCGAAGACUGAAGCUCUUGUCUUGCAAAAAUCCUUCCAAUAGGUGUUUUUUUUAUCCGCACGGUGUUCUGAGUGUAAAAUCAACUGCUAGUGUCUCUCCCGGGGAGUCUACCCAC